AGAGAAAGAAAUAGCUCAGUCCCGAGAGAAGAGAGGAAGAAAGAAGGAGGAUUUGGAUUUCCCCUUCCCUCCAAAUUUAUUUUAUCACUUUUUUUCACUUUCUUCGUACGUCUAAGUUAUUCUUUUUU
rnacentral:ribozyme from 15 species